UACGUAGGCAGCGAGCGUUGUUCGGAAUUACUGGGCGUAAAGAGUGUGUAGGCGGUGUUCCCAGUCUGUUGUGAAAUCUCCCGGCUUAACUGGGAGGGUGCAGCGGAAACUAGAAUGCUAGAGGGUGGGAGAGGUAAGCGGAAUUCCCGUGUGAGCGGUGAAAUGCGUAGAUAUCAGGAGGAACACCUGUGGUGUAGACAGCUUCUGGACCACUUCUGACGCUGAGACACGAAAGCGUGGGUAGCAAACAGG
rnacentral:rRNA from 1 species